CCCGAGGAAAACAUCACCCACUUGAUUGA
rnacentral:piRNA from 1 species